rnacentral:rRNA from 1 species
GGGGGCUAGCGUUAUCCGGAUUUACUGGGCGUAAAGGGUGCGUAGGCGGUCUUUCAAGUCAGGAGUGAAAGGCUACGGCUCAACCGUAGUAAGCUCUUGAAACUGGGAGACUUGAGUGCAGGAGAGGAGAGUGGAAUUCCUAGUGUAGCGGUGAAAUGCGUAGAUAUUAGGGGGAACACCAGUUGCGAAGGCGGCUCUCUGGACUGUAACUGACGCUGAGGCACGAAAGCGUGGGGAGCAAACAGGAUUAGAUACCCUGGUAGUCCACGCUGUAAACGAUGAGUACUAGGUGUCGGGGGUUACCCCC